rnacentral:lncRNA from 1 species
GCCGAGGCUCGUUAAUAGCUCGUUUGAUUAGGUACAAGCUUGCAACAGAAUCUGAUGCAAUAGUGAGCUUCUUAUUUGUAAAUUCUUCACCCUCGCCACCAAAUUCUGCGAGCGCAGCACGAAUUGCUGCCAGUUCAGCUCUCGUAAUAGUGUUUGUGCACCCAGCGCCAUUUGGAUUCACGUAGACAACGCGAGAAUCGCUGAACCAGGCGCAGGCGCCGGCAACCUGGACUUCUUUGCCAUUGUUAGUUUUGAUUUUGCUUACCGAACCAUCUGUCCAGACAGUGCCAUUCACGUCGUGGGCCAGAGCAUGGUGGGUCUGGAAUCGCGCGUUAGGAAAGCGUCGUGCUUCGUCAGCCAUGGCGUGUAUCGUCUUUGGGUUGGCGUGCUGGUAUUUGGCUUGCUUCAGAAGUGAGGUUGGGAGAGCCGGGCAGGUUGGGGCCGGAGCCGUGUGUGUCCACGUGCGGGGGUCGCUGAUGUGCGUGGGUGCGUUCGCCCCCCGUUUCAGUGUGUCCACGAGCCGUUUCAGGCGGGGGGCAAAGCACUGGAGUCCGGCGGGGUUCCCAACAAUGACCAGUCGGAGCCCCUUCUGGCGUUCAGCCUGGGUGUUGGUGCCAAGUCCUGUGUCAAGGCCCGCGGUGCCCGCGGACCAGUUGGCCAGCUCGUGGCAAAGUGGGUGUUGAAGCCACUGCGUGUGGGGGAAAGUGGCCGCUUUGGGAAGCGUCAAUACAGUAAGGGUUGGUUCCUGUGAGUCACGCAUGGCCUCGGCGCAUGCGAGGGCCCACAUGAGCGCCUUCCGUGCAUCGUGGGGGGUAGAGGGGGGGUGGGCAUAUUGCAAGCCGGUCCAUGCGGUCUGGUAGGCAUCGUGCAGUGCGCCAAAGGCCCCAUCAGCAGGGUCUCGUGUCCAGUAUUCGUGGGCUGGAGUGGAGGAGUUUAGUGGGGACGCAAACAUUUCCCGAAUGUGUACUGCUUGUGUGACCCGCAGGCAUUGGACGAUGGCAGCUACUGUGCCUGCCGGCAGCGACACCUGGUGCAUUGGCAUGGCCUUGCGGUCCUGCUGCGCCGGGUCAUAGCGGUAGCGCAUGAUGAGGGCAGCGACCGCUUCCUCGAAGGCGUUGGGCCGCUGGUUGCUGGUGUGCCUGAAGCGCUCCCACAGGGUAAGGAGGCGGGGGUAGGUGAUGGUGCCCAGCCAGCGGCCACUGGGUUCAUGGAUGUGCGCCUCAGCUGGGUCACGGCGGGUGCCACCAGUGGUGGUAAUUGUGUAUGCUCCGGGGGCCACGAUGUCCUUGUAGGGGUUGCACGGGCUUGUGGUGAUGGUGGUGGUCGUGCGGAUGUCACGCGCGCGGGAUGCGGUAUCGAGGGGCUCGGCGUCGUGGCGGCCUUGGCGCUGUCUGGCGGUAAGGUUCCGAUCAGGUGCGGGGCGCACUGUUCGGGGCCGCGGGACUUGGUUGGUACCGUUUGCUAGCGGGGUUUUGCACUCCUCCAGUAGCUCCUCCCAUUGUGGACUGUGUUUAAGGUCCCGUUCACGGUCCGUGCUCGGCGCCCACGUGACAUGUCGCAG